GAAGUUGGGAUUUGAAUUGUUUGCGCCUUACAGGUAUAAAAGAGGGCAUGACAAGUAUUGGUGGAGAAUGGCUUUAAAAUCAAAAGCCAGAGCUCUUUCAGGGCGGCUUGGUAAUUGCACCAGACUGGCUGGCUUUCAAUUGAUCAAAUACUUGAGAUACGAUAUUCGUAAAAGAGUGAAAUACGACCCAAAAUUAAUGGCUCAUACUCACGAUAUGAGAAUACAUGCUGCAGCAAUGGAACAUGGAAUGGACGGUAGAGUUUUGAUUGAAAGUCUUCAAAGGUGUAACAUUUUGCUGAGCAAACCUAUGCUAUCAGGACUUGCAAUUUACGAGCCGAAAACGUUCACUUCUCUAGUUGAAAUAGCUGCUCGGAGGUCAAAAGAACCCGACUCGGACUGGUGGAAACUAGUUCCCGAAGAGUCAAGAAACGCCGACUACGAUGAACACUGCAGAGAAAAUCAAGAAACUUUAAUCAAGAGAACUCAAAAUAACUCAAUUAAAACAGAGCUUCGGUAACGAUUUGAAAUAGAUUUUUUUUUGUUUA